GCUCGGUUGGCAGCGCGUCUGCCUUGUAAGCGCUAGGUCGCGGGUUCAAUUCCCGCACAGGGCG
rnacentral:tRNA from 1 species